CAAGCUGCUUCAUAAACAAAAACCUCAAAUUGUUGGUAAAUGUUUUUUCGAUCAAAUGGCCUUGGUUUAAUAUCUUUAACACAACGGCAGAAACAGCAGGUGGUCUUGUCUUCUUCUCUAGAACAAGUCACGGCUUUCCUGAAAUAAUGAGGAGGAGAUUAAUUAGGAAAUGCUCCGCGACAAACCAAUCAGAUUAAGGAACAAAUUAGUGGCAUACUGUAGGAAAGCAUUAACAUGCAAUUAUUAGUUUUUCAGGUUCUGGAUAGAGAACUUUUAGAUGUGAAGAUAUCUGUUUCAAGUUUGCUGCAGAGGCUAGAGCAUAAUACAAGUGAUGAAUGCAGUUAAGUCACAAUCUGUCAACCAAAGUUGUCUUAUUAAAAUUGAUUUUGUUCAUCGAAAUUCUCUUCCUGCUGUAAAAUUAUGCUGAUUUUGUUUUCUGAAACUUUGCAUCUCCUUUUAAACUUAGCCUGCUUGAAGACUAUUUGAAUUAUAUUCAGGCCACUCAAUUCCAAGGUUUCAAAGUGCUUGAUUCUGGUAUGGUUCUUUUCAGUUGAAGCUCAUUCUCCAUUUCAAAGAAGAAUCACUUCCUAACCAGUCAUUUAAAGCUGAACUAAAAAACAAGCUCAUCAAAACAUAAAUACAAGUUAAAACCAGAAUAAGGAGCUUUUUGAUACAUACCCUUUGUGAUUUCCAUGUGGCUUGAUGACAUAGUAGCGAUUCGAAGACAAAGGAAGGUUGAGAACUGGAAUGAAGACAGCAUCAUCAAGGGAAACAUCUUGGGACUCACCACUACUUUGUACGUACUGAACUGUCAAGUCCUUGUUCUGAGGAAACGGCAGAUCCCUGACGGUUCGAUUCUUGCACAAUCCAAAACAAGAAUAUGUCUCCGAUUCUUCAUCUUGAAUUACCAAGUAUCCCGAAUUUGGACCCUCCGGGGGUAAUGAAAGUGUAUCUGGAUUCUUUGUGUACUCAGAAAGUGGCCUUGCAACAUACAUUUUUCCCAAAAUCUUCUUCCCCAAUCCUCCUGUGUUAGUCUUUUUAUUGAUGUUUAUUUGCAAAUACCAUAUCCUUCUCUGUCUCUAUAUGUAUAUCUACAAGAGGAUAAGCUUCUCUGUCCCUAUAUGUAUGUCUACAUAUGGAUAAGGUGGGAACAUUUAGAAUCUUCAGUAUACAACCAAGGAAGUUCACACUGGACAAAAUAAUAUCCUAAUUGCAAAGAUAGGUUAGAAAUCAACCAACCUGGAAAAGUUGAACAAGUUAGCUAACCAGUCAACAAGCUGACCAGUGCUAAAUCUGUUUGCAGAUACAAUUUUCUCGUUGAUUCCAGGAAAGUUACCCGGAAUCAGCAGCUUAUAUUUGUCGAAACCUUGAAAACAAGUUCAGCAGCUUUAUGUAGAUUCAAGUUUUACUGUUUCGCACAUAAACAAUGUCCGGCAACAUUUGCUUAUUAUUUUUUGACAACGUCAAGAAAAUUAAAUAUAGGAUAAAUUACACUUUAUCCCCUGUAAUUUAGCAUUUUUCAUGUAAUCUCCCUAUAGUUUCAAAAAUUAUAUAUAGCCCCCUUAUUAUUUGAAUUAAAGUGUCAAAGUGACGGAAAUGAUUAUUCUUAACAAAACUUUUGAAAAUAUCGAAAUUACCUUUAUAAAUACAUGACACAUUAACAGCAGCGUAUAGUUUUAUGUUUUAUCAUAUAAACCCCUUAUAGUUUAAUUACUUUAUCAUAUAACCCCUUAUGAUUUUUAAAAUAUACACAUAAUUCCCAUCGGUUAAUAAAUAAUUUUUAACUUUACAUAAGGAUAAUUUUGACAUUAUAGGUGAUUCCAUUACGAAUGAUUAUUUUUGUCAUUUUGAUACUUUAAUCCAAAUUAUAAGGAGGUUAUGUAUAGAUUUUGAAACUAUAAAAGGGUUAUGUAAAAAAUACUAAAUCACAGGGGAAUAAAGUGUAAUUUGCCCUUAAAUAUAUAAUAAUAUCUUUUGUCAAACGUGUAGCCGUGUACUCCAGAAAAUUUGACGCACUCCAACAUGUCGGCAACAGCCAGAUUUAAGUUGAAGCAACUUGAAUGUGGUAAUUACUGCGUUUUUAGCUAGAGUUAUGGAAGAUAUUAAAAAAUUGUCAAGGAUAAGAUUAGAAGCCAAGAAGUCCUUGCUAAUUAUUUUAAGGUUGAUCCGUAACUGAAAUGAAUUGACUGAUCAGGAGGAAAGUUCAUGGUAUUUCUUCUCGUAGCUGGUCGAGCCUCAAAGAAAGAAACCAAUACCAUGAAGGCUUGAACAAACAGCAAAAACUUCUAUUCCGGUCUGGGGUACUUUUGGGCCUGGAUAUUUGGUGAUAUUCUUUUUUCAUGUUAGUACCCAUUUAGGGGUGGGCUGCUUUGGGUUCUAAGGUUAGAAGGAAUCAUGUUAUCACGAGAACUGCUCUUUAACCUGCUUUUGCUGCAAAACACCAUUAGGCCUGUUGGGCCAUGUAUAAAGUUGUUGGCAAGAAAACAUCUAUGUAGCGCAACAUGUUUUGUCCAUUUUAUAGGGAAUCUCAUCCAAAAGAACACCCAAUUGUGGAUUUGUGGGGACAGGCCUUGCAACAUACAUCUUUCCCAAUCCCAAAGCUUCUUCCCCAAUCCCUCCUCUUUUUUUUUUUUGUCGAAACAAUAGAUGUCUUAUAACCUAAUCUAGCCUAGUUUAAGGGGAAGGGGAGGGGGUUCGAUGUGAGUACAGACUCCAUCGAUGAAGGUCAAUUAAGACCGCCACAAAUUGUGGCAAAUUUGUGGGAGGCAGGGAUUGAACCCCUGACCUCCAGCAUCACCUUUAAUGGUGAUGACCACUGGACCAAAUGGCCAGUGGCUCCCCAAUCCCUCCUGUGUUAGUCUAUUUAUUGAUGUUUACAGAUGUUUGACAAGUCAUAUUUGCAAAUACCAUAUCCUUCUCCGUCUCUAUAUGUAUAUCUACAAGAGGAUAAGGUGGGAACAUUUAGAAUCUUCACUAUACAACCAAGGAAGUUCACGCUUGACAAAUAAUAUACUAAUUGCAAAGAUAGGUUAGAAAUCAACUAACUUGGAAAAGUUGAACAAGUUAGCUAACUAGUCAACAAGCUGAUUAGUGCUAAAUCUGUUUGCGGAUACAAUUUCCCCAUUGAUUCCAGGAAACUUACCCGAAAUCAGAUUAUAUUUGGGGCCAAACCUUGAAAACAAGAAGUUUAUGUUGUCCUAUUGCGUCUACGGUGGAAAGUUCACUUUUCUGCUCAUACUAGGCAGAAGCAAUGCAUGGAGCCCAACUGUGCUCUGCGGGACGCACAAAGAAGGAUAUUCGGGCACCAUUGGAGAGAGUGGGUUGUGCGUGGAUAAAAAUUGUAAUACAUUUUAAAAUCACAAUAAAAGUCCUCUUAAAAAUUUGUUCAUCAUCUAAUGCCCCGUACUUAUAUUUGAUAAAGGGAUAAUUUCAUAAACACCCCUUAAGAUUUUUGACAAUUUCACUUGGCUCCCCUUAUGUUUCAAUAAUUACAUAGACUUCCUUUGGUCUAAUCAAAUGACUAAAAUGUCUUUCACUUAAUAGUUAAUUCAUAAAGGGACAUUUAAAACCGAAAAAUACUUCUUUUUAUUCUACUUGUCAUUUCCUAAUCUCAAAAAAUAAUUUCCAUCAAUUUUCUAAUUUUCAUCUCUUUUUCCCUCCCUCUCUCCAUUCCCUUUCAUAUUUUUCUCUCUUUUUCUCCUACAAUUGCAUCUCCCUCUUACCAAAUAUCGCGUUCCAUUAUUACCAAUCACACCACUAUUAAUUUUUUAUCAUCUCCAAAAUUUAUUUGUAUUUUUUGUAUUCCUGUCUCUUUUUUACUAUAAAAAUUUUAGAUCCUUUUUUUUUCAAUAGUUUUACUCUUUACAAAUGUUAACCAAUUGAAAUUACAAAAUUAACAAGGUGCAGACUGUGAAUUUUAUUGUCAAAUUAGGAAAAGAUGAAAAAGUGGUAGUGAUAUAGGAAAAAAAUGAAAUUAAGAGUUGGAACAUAAAGAAGCGACUAUUAUGCUUGUUAAGCAAAAAAAUCUAGCAAUUACUCAUUGGUUUUCUUUUUUAUUUACCUAUUGAUUAUGAUUUUACUAUGAAAGUAGAAUUUUGUUUCUAUUUUUAAGAGUGCUAGAGCAAUGAUGAAUUAUAUUUUAGGGACAUGGGGGCAUUUUUUAGUUUAGUAUUAGUAGUGGUGGUAGUGAGUUGCAUUAGACAAGAAUUAGCAAGUAAUGAAUUUUGAGAUGAGUUGAAGUCGCUGGACUUUGUUUGUUUUAGUGAGUAUGACACGUAGAAAAAAUUAAAGAUUAAAAUCUUGUUUUGUUUUGUCUUAUUCUUUGAAAAAUGGUAUUUUAGGAUAUUUGUGAAAAUUUAUAGGUUAUUGGGUUUAUAUUGUUACAUAAACCUUAAAAGCAAUGGAGCUAAGUGUAAUUUUUGAAACUUAAGAGGAGCUCUCUGUAAUUGCUAGAAACCUCAAGGGAGGUUUCUAAAAUUACCUAUUUGAUAAAUUAAAAUAGUUAAUUAAAUAUUCUAUUAUAAUAUAAACAACUAUAUGUCAUGGAGUUGAUUGAAUAAUUUUUUUUCUUUUUCUUUUUUUGGCAUUUCAACUAGUUGUCAAUUAAGUUUCAAUUGAAAUAAAUAUUUUAUAAUUAUUUAAAUUAUGCAAUAAAAUUAUCAAUUUAAGAUGAACAUAAAUAUAAAUACAUUAAAUUGUAUUAUUGAAAUAUUUGAUUUAAUAUGAAGGAAAGAUGAGAAGAAAUAGCAAGAAAUUUUUUAAAAAUUCAUAUGAAUCAUUUAUAUUGGUAAUCACCUCUAUUUGUUAUUGGAAUCACAAUGUCUAACCAUAACCGAUUGAAACUCAUAUCCACAAGUCAUACAACGAUUUGUGUUAUACUGCUUACAAUUAAAAUAACUAUAUAAUCAAAUUAAAAUUCUCUUUUUCUCACUAACUUUUCUUUUAUAUAUGAUUUCUGUGUUAUCAUUUGUUUGUAAUUAAUUUAACGAAAAGAUACUCUUUAGGCUAAAUGAUAUGUUUUGACAAUGUGGAUUACUUUUAAUGAUUUUAAUGAGAUUUAGAACUCAUUUGUUAUGCAUUUAAUCUAAUUCACAUUUUAUUUCAUUUGAAAUAUAAUUAUUUAAAACACAAGGGACCAUAUUGAUCAAAAUUUCAAAUAUUAGGGACCAAAAAAUAUAAUGUCAAACCCUUGACUAAUUCUAACUUGAUUUUGACUGUUAGAUAUUGUAGUUUUCUAUUAGUUGUCCUAAAUUUGCUUAAAAUAAAAAAUUUGGGACCAUAUUUAUUUUGGUCAAAAUAUCAGGGACUAGUUUAACUCAUAGACCAAAUAUUGGAGAACCAAAAUUGCACAUCUUCCUUUAUUUUAAUCAUGUUUGUUAUCCCAACUCUUUCUUUUAUAUUUACGCUUCAAUUAUUUCAAAUAUCAAAGUCAAUUAAAAAAUAAAAACUACUACAAUAUUUGUUUUGAUAUGUACAAAAUUCACUAAAUAAUGUUCAAAAUUUCACCCAUUUUCCGUUACAACAAUUUCGUCUUUCUUUUCGUACCUUUGUUUUCCACAUUUUUUUCACAUUCACUUUUUUGCUCUUCACUUUUUAUUGGGACCCACAUCUCGAUUAGGGUGUUCACAAAAUAUUUUCUAAGUAAAGGGUAUUAGAUGAUGAACAAAUUUUUAAGAGAGGUUUUAUUGUAAUUUUAAAAUGUAUUGCAUUAUUUCAUCCCAGCACAGCGGACCUUCUCCAGUGCCUGGUACAUUAUUUUUCUUUCCGUCUUUGUGCGUCCCCACAGAACACAGUUGGCCUCCUUGCAUCAGACGGAUCCUCUAUCCAUUAUGUCUGUCAACUUUUCUGUCUAAUAAAAAAUUACGUAGUUUCACUUAUUAAUACUGCUGAUGUAGCACAAAACAUUUAAUGCAUAUUUAGGGGGUGUUUGAUAAAUGAGUUUCAAAUUCAAUUAUAGCAUAGACGACCUACUUUUUGAAUCAACAUGACUGCAUAUAACUGUAACUUUGACAAACUCAAGAUUCUUGACCUCAAAUGCUUGUCUAAUCUCAUCUAAAUCAUGCGGUGUGAAAUUUCAAAGUAGAAGACUAUGGGUACAGUUGGACAUAAACAAACAUCAUUCAUGAAUAUAAUUGAAUUUGACACUCAUUUAUCAAACAUCCUCUAAAUAUGCAUUCAAUGUCAUGUGGCACAUCAGUAGUAUUAGUACGUGGAACUACGCAGACGGGAUUCUCUGUCCAUUAUGUCUGUCAAUUUUUUUGUCCAAUACAAAACUACGUAGUUUUAUUUAUUAAUACUAUUGAUGUAACACAAAACAUUGAAUGCAUAUUUAGGAGGUGUUUGGUAAAUGGGUUCCAAAUUUAAUUAUAGCAUGGAUGGCCUAUUUUUUGAAUCAACAUGACUGCAUGUAACUGCAACUCUGACAAAUUCAAGAUUCUCGUCCUCAAAUGCUUGCCUAAUCUCAUCUAAAUCAUGUGGCGUGGAAUUUCAAAAUAGAAGACCAUGGGUUCAGUUGGGCAUAAACAAACAUCAUUUAUGGAUAUAAUUGAAUUUGACACCCAUUUAUGCAUUCAAAUACCCCCUAAAUAUGCAUUCAAUGUCAUGUGCCACAUAAACAGUAUUACUAUGUGAAACUAUGUAGUUUUGCAUUGAACAAAAAAAUGGAUAGAUAUAAUGGAAGAAUCCCGUCUGCGAUGGUUAAGUGAUAUUUUGAUAUCCUCAAAGUUUAUCCCCAAAAUCCCUCAAAUUUUGGUGCAGAUUUGAUUCUCAAAAUCCCGAUGGCGGCAAGUUGAGCUAUCUUUGCAAGGUGGGAAGAAGUAAUAGGUUUACGUCUACGGUGGAAAGCUCACUUUUCUGCCCACAAUAGGCGGAAGCAAUGCAAGGAAUCGUGACUAACGUCCCAAGAGUCUCGCAAGCGGAACAAAAGCCAACAGGAUAGGAAUGGCAACUGAUACGUAAUGUUCUAUUUGGUACUUCUUCUUUCCCUUAUCAUCACGGUUGCCUGCAGAAUAGUGGAAACAAUUCGUUGCAUUGUGAUAUUGUAACCUUCUUUUGUUUGAUUUGGUGAUUCUUAGUAAGACAAUUACGAUUUGAUAGUUUGGAUAUGUCUAAUGAGAUUGAGACUUUGCAUAGAGGACCCAAAAAUUCAUAGACCGAAUCUGUAGACUUGAAAAAGUAUUUUCCGACAACCAGUUGCCAGUAACAAACAACACAUCAUGGAUACUUUCCGGUAAUCUAUCACUGAAUGCUAUUAAUUCCUCGUAUUCCUAUUCCAUUAUCCAUGGAGGGUAACACUAGAAUCAGUGCCAUGUACCCUUUAUCUGGUGAGGAUGAUUGAAAUAGUAUGUUAUUACAAACUUCCAUCCAUUCUGUUCAGUAUAAAACAUUCAAUGAAACAUAGCACUAAGUUCUCUCCACUCAGGCACCCUGAGAUUUUUGGAUUUAUCUGCAGUUGUGAUAUGAAUACUAAUGAAUUCCAUCUGCCUGAUCAGUACUAACGCUGCCACAGUUGAAGUUCUGCUAUGGAAAGAAAAUUAAGAGUCCUAAUCGAAUGUGACAAUUAUUAUGCUCAAUCUUUGUUUUUCAACUUUCUUCAGUGCAUUAUUGAUGAUUCGAGGUGGAAAAUAUGGGUCAUGCCAAAGUUUUGCCUGGUUUCAAUCUACAAAUUGAGCAAAAAAGAAUUUACUAGAGAAGCACAUAUGAAACAUUGAAUUGUUUUAUAAAACCUCAGCAAUGUGGCCGAAGAGUAUUACUGAUUACAAACAUGUAAAAAGACAUUUUGCUUAGACAGAUGGGAUUUCAAGAAAACAAACUAGAAUCAUGGAUAAGUUCGUAGUACAUAAUUAAGAAAUGCUAUUACUUCCUGGUUGCUCCUUAAACAUGGUACUAGACUCUUAUCCCAUCUCCAUUUUAUCUAGUGAGAGUGUAGGAGAUCAUAUGGCAUCAGCAAACUUCCAUCCAUUCUCUUUAACACAAAACUUUCUACCAAGACAUAGCAACCAAAUUCUCUCCAAUCACCCUUUUCUCCAAAAUUUUCUUUCCUCUCAACUCUCAUUUGCCUUCCUUUCCCACCUAACCGUCCAGAUCUUCCUUGCUCGCAUUUCAUUCUUUGAACUAACUCCACACUUAGACCUACAUUUGCUUCUUCUCCAGCUCUAUUGAUGCUCCUAAACCAUAUCUUUCCUUCAACUACAUUUCUCUCAACUAGUUAAGUAAAUAUUAUAACUUCAUGGUGUUAGCAGUAUGCUCUAGAGCAUUAAUAAUUAUUGUCUUGAUUAAAAUAAAAUGGCACUUCUUGAUUCAAUUAUUCUUGGUUUAGAUUUGAUUGAAUGUUGUCUAUUAUUAUUUGUUAAGGUUCCAUUCUCAUGUGAUGAGAAUAUGAGUGACGGAAAAACUUGGUACAAAUAAUAUUAAAUUGUUCCUAACCAUAGGAUUAUUAAUUGGGCAAGUUUAAUCCGGAAGAUUAGUCUCAUAUUUAUUUUCUAUGAUUAAUAUGAGAUAUUAAUGAUAAUAGAAUGGCGAAUCUCAUACCAUUAAGUAUGUGAUACUAGAACAAAUAUGAGAGGCACUUGUGUGACAAGUUGGCUUGAACACUGACUAAUUUAAAUAAUGAAUCAUUAGCUUAUUAAUGUCAAUGAUUCAUUAUUGAUUGCAAUGGUGCAUGUGAUCCUUAGACCUGAGAUGAUACGGUUGACUCAUUCAUGGGUGGUUAAAGUCUAUCAAUGCAGAAAAUACUUGUUCUAAUCACGGAUGAGUAUUGGCAUAUGGUACCUCUAAUUAGUUAUGCAUGGAGCUAAGUGUUUAUGCAAAAUGGGAUCUAUUAUUCCAUCAUGAAUGGUUUGAUAUCUUAUGAAAUCUAUCAAUCUUGACUAAAGGAGUUCUUGGCCAAGACAAAUUGAUUCAUGUAGAUGAUCAAUUUUAUAGUCAAGUAAUUUGAUAGAUUAAGUCAUACGAUUGAGUUUUAGAGUUUGACAUUAUUACUAAACUGAACUCAAUAGGGAUAUAGUAAUAGAAGGAUUUUUAUGCAAAACAAUUGCAGUCAUGGUUCACAUAAAAGGAUUCCAAUCUUUCAUCACCGGUUGGGUGUCAUGAUAUGCUGCUAGGCAUCACUCAUGAACUAUGUUAACUUGAGGUAUAUUUGGAGAACUUCUCAAGUGUUAGAAAUGUUCUAACUAAUGUUAAUAGGCUAACGUUUAUUACAUUGCCAACUGGGUAAUGGACCUAGAUAGUCACACACAAAAGGAUUUGAACUAAUAGGGAAGUUGAUUAGAAUGGGUUUAGACUUUGAUAAGGAUGCUAGCACAUCUUGAAACCUAAGCUAGAUGGAAUUUGGAGUUGGUAUUUGAGUAUGACUCAAAUAUUAUAAAGAUGAAAAUAAUAGUUAAUAUAAUUAUAUUAAUUGUGUUUAUAUUUUGAUGUGAUCAAAACUAAAACAUGAAUUAAAUAAUUGUAUUAAUUGUAUUCUAUUUUGAUUUGAUCAAGAUAAGAAUAAAAAUAUAAAUCGGCUGUUUUGAUUUGAUCAAGAUAAGAAUCAAAUAUGUAUUGGAUAAUCAUAUGAAUUAUGUAAUAUUGAUUUGAUCAAGAUAAUAUAAGAUAUUGAUCUAAUCAAAACAACUGUAUAAAUAAGCCCUAUUGACAAAGAGUUGUCAAGGGUCUACUAGGGUGAAAAACAAUCACGAUUGUUUUUGGAAAAGGAAGAAAGCAAUAUCGUUGUUUCUUCACUACCGAAACAAAACUCCAAAAUUCAGUAACCUAUUAAUUUGAGUCUGUGUGGACGAACUAGAGGCCUGACGUGUGGAAGGCUUAUUGCUGGAAUUCAAACAUCUACAUCAGGCAUCGCAUAUUCGUCUAAACAAGUAAGUACUUAUUUGUUUUGAAAUAUGAAGGCCUGAAUCAAAUUGCAACUUCAAGCAAGAAGAACAAAACUAAACUGUUUGCUCAUUCCGCUGCGCAAAUAAUUUUCUUUCACAUGGCACAUACUUUUGCACAUCUUGAUUAAUCGCCAUAACCGUAGAUGUUUUCCGUGUAUUUUCCAUUAUGGAUAAAAACUAAAUUUAUGUGGAUAUUUUGAAAGCUUAUGAGAUUGUAUUAUUAUGCACAAGCACAGAGGGUUGAGACAUUUACCCAAAACAAAGUAUACCUUAGUUUUGUCAUCUUUACCAGCAUGGAGAACCUUCCCUCCCUCAGUUAUGGAGUCAGGAUCAUAGCUACUAGAGAAUCAAGCAGUUGGACUGUUUUUUUCCGGAACUGCUCUUCUGAUAUUUCGAGAUCAAAAUCUAUGGACCAAGACACCAGGCAAAGUAAAAUUUGAUGCAGCAAAUUUGCGAAAUGAUUUAAUUUGACAUUUAGUUGGAAAGUUAACAAAAGAUUACAAUAUAACGUUACACAUUGUUUAGCUCCUAAGGUCACCUGGUAAAGAAUUAGUCUUUCCAUUUUGGGCUAAACCAAACCACAUUUUUUAUUCAGACGACGUUUUUUAUUCACACACUAAUCAAAUAUCAAAGGAGGAUAACUUAGCAGAGUCUCUUGCACCAUGGUUGAGGUUCUCCAGACCACAUCUUUAUUGCCCGUUAGUCAUUGGCUAAUCCACCUAGCUUAGUAUUAUUGGUAGCACGACAGAAACAAUUUCAGGCAAAGUUUGACAGUUGCUGUUUUACAUCUAUCAUCAAGUUGCCAAGAGUUGCUGGAAUGGUCUUUUGGGCCCUAAAAACAUUCAUUUAAACCACAACAGAGUCUACUAUGCAAGGUAAUAUCCAGAAUGCACUAUUGGAUGAGCAAAUAUAAUCAAUUUAUUCCAUGAAACAGAAAAUGCUAGAGAAGUAACCUUGAAAUACUGACAUUUUAUAUGGACCUCAAUAACCACAUACUUACAUAUAUAUUUACGGAUAUUUUUGUCUUACAAGCAGUGUGUGGAGAAAACAAACCAAAAUUAAGGAUGAGACCAACGCAAAUCAAGAAAACAAACCAAAAUCUAGGAUAAGUCUAUGGUAAUAGAACGUUUACAAAUGCAACAGUGAAGAGACUCAAUCCCAUGUGCACUUGAUCUGGUGAGGGUGUUUGAAAUCAUAUGUCAUUAGCAAACUUCCAUCCAUUCUCUUAAACACAAAACUCUCAACCAAAACAAAACAUCCAAAUUCUCUCCACUCACCCUUUUCUCCAGAGUAUUCUAUCCGUUCCACCCUCACUUGCCUUUCGUUCCCACCUAGCCAUCCAGCUCUUUCUUGCUCCCAUUUCAUCCUUUGAACUAAUUCUAUGCUCAGACCAACUGUCGCUUCCUCUCCAGCUCUCCCAAAACUCUUAAACCAUAUUGUUCCUUCAACAACAUUUUUCUCAUCCCACACAGCUUUGUUGCCAGCAAUGUAGACAGCUUCUCGAUCAAUGGUGACAUCUAUGGACACAGACUUCGCCUCAUGAUAGAUAUUCUGUGUUGAAUAUACCUGCUCCCACUUUUGCUCCAGAGUCACCUGAUAAAACAUUGAUCUUUUCAUCUGAUCUUUCACUAUCCCAUCUUUGAUAAACAGAAAAGGGCUAUACCAUUUCCCUACUACAACAGCUUCAGAACUCUUAUACGAUGGUGGUACACUGAAUUCAGGAAGGCGGGCUCGUAGAGUAGCAUUGAGACCAGGAGCUUCGUCUAAUUUGUAGUGUUUUGGAGUUUUAGUGCGAACUGACCACCCUUUUCUUCUCAAGAAAUAGGGAGGAAAACCAUCAGGCGCAACAGAUUUAGCAUAAAAGUAACCCCUGCCAGCGCAAGGUGUUUCACGAACAAAAACCUCAAAUUGUUGGUAAAUGUUCUUUGGAUCAAAUGGCCUUGGUUUAAUAUCUUUAACACAACGACAGAAACAGCAGGUGGUCAUGUCUUCUUCCCUAGAACAAGCCACGGCUUGCCUGAAAUAAUGAGGAGGAGAUUAAUUAGGAAAUGCUCCGUGACAAACCAAUCAGAUUAAGGAACAAAUUAGUGGCAUACUGUAGGAAAGCAUUAACAUGCAAUUAUUAGUUCUUCAGGUUCUGGAUUGAGAACUUUUAGAUGUGAAGAUAGCUGUUUCAAGUUUUCUGCAGAGGCUAGAGCGUAAUACAAGUGAUGAAUGCAGUUAAGUCGCAAUUUGUCAACCAAAAUUGUUUUAUUAAAAUUGAUUUUGUUCAUCAAAAUUCUCUUCCUGCUGUAAAAUUAUGCUGACUUUGUUUUCUGGAACUUUGCAUCUCCUUUUAAACUUAGCCUGCUUGAAGACUAGUUGAAUUAUAUUCAGGCCACUCAAUUCCAAGGUUUCGAAGUGCAUGAUUCUGGUAUAGUUCUUUUCAGUUGAAGCUCAUUCUCUAUUUCAAAGAAGAAUCAGUUCCUAACCAGUCAUUUAAAACUGAACUAAAAAACAAGCUCAUCAAAACAUAAACAUAAGUUAAAACCAGAAGAAGGACCUUUUUGAUACAUACCCUUUGU
rnacentral:lncRNA from 1 species